CUGCCAACUCCGAGAGGCUGUAUUUUCUGCCUCUAUCUUCACAGGUCAACAGCAAAUAGUGGGCUGGAGUGGGAAGGCAUUCGGCUGUCUCCCUCCGCUUCUCAGCGGCUCCGGCCGCGUGGGAGGUGGGAGCACUGGGCAAGUGGCUUCGUAGGAUGCUCCUUAGUGAGACCAGCCGGGUGUGGAUGCCGCUCCUACACCGUCCCAGGAACUUUAUAAUAGAGGUCUUUUAUUGCCAUUCAAGAGCUGUAGCAACCAAGGCACAGAGAUGUUGAGCAAGUUGUCCGAGGUCACAGAGAGGCCGGGUGGCAAAGCAGGAAUGGAAUUGAUCCUCCAUCUUCAAGAGUUGAUGCGUAGGAGCUUGGCCUGAAUUUUAACCACGGAAGCAUGAAAAGUGGCGGAUACCCCACUUUGGGACAUGAACAGGAAGUUUGAGAAGUGACAGGCCACAGGCACAGGCCAGCCCUGCUGAGAAAUCGCCAUCAGGAGCAAACCACAUGUCCUGUGAACUCGGGGACCUGCCAGCAAAAUUCCCUGAUGCUGGAACUUCGGGCAGAGAGCGCCGGUCUUGCGCUGAUUGGCGUCAGGAGCCAAGUGUGGUGGGGGAGGGGAGUCAGCACAUAUUUCUCCGCUGAACUCCGUUUCCCAUUUGGUUUGGCAGCUUGUUUUUCAUGAAAUGAGGCCAAUCCACGAAUUCCGUGUCAACAUCGCUCCUUUUACUGGAACCGCAAAGGCAGCCCCCCGGGACUGGCUCCAUCUCUGGGCAGACAUCAAAACAACCCCUUUUCGCUUUGAAAGCAUAGCAGGCGUCUCAGAGCCCCCCACUUCCUUACCUGUGUUUCCCUCUGAGGAAGAAAGCAAGGACCAGGGCCGUGGCUGCAGUGCCCCGAGCUCACUGUUGGCACAGCAGCCCUGGGCUGGCCACGCUGAGGGUUCUCCUGGCCCUGCUGCCUGUCUUCCCUUUCUUGUGCGUCCAAGGCCCGGAGGCUCCUUCCUGCCUGCUUGUCUCGCUUCCAGGACUAGCUUGAUGAGUAGGCAUGGCCUCCCCAGCCCCUCAGC
rnacentral:lncRNA from 1 species